AACGAACGCUGGCGGCAGGCCUAACACAUGCAAGUCGAGCGGACCUUUCGGGGUCAGCGGCGGGCGGGUGAGUAACGCGUGGGAAUAUGCCCUUCUCUACGGAAUAGUCCUGGGAAACUGGGGGUAAUACCGUAUACGCCCUUUGGGGGAAAGAUUUAUCGGGGAAGGAUUAGCCCGCGUUGGAUUAGGUAGUUGGUGGGGUAAUGGCCUACCAAGCCGACGAUCCAUAGCUGGUUUGAGAGGAUGAUCAGCCACACUGGGACUGAGACACGGCCCAGACUCCUACGGGAGGCAGCAGUGGGGAAUCUUAGACAAUGGGGGCAACCCUGAUCUAGCCAUGCCGCGUGAGUGAUGAAGGCCUUAGGGUUGUAAAGCUCUUUCAGCUGGGAAGAUAAUGACGGUACCAGCAGAAGAAGCCCCGGCUAACUCCGUG
rnacentral:rRNA from 1 species